rnacentral:tRNA from 1 species
GCGCCGGUGGCUUAAAGGCGUAGAGCAUUCUUGCCCGGUCCGGUCAGAAGGAGGUGCGGGUUCGAGUCCCGCCUGGCGCU